ACACUGCCAAAAGAAAGCAUUUGCCACCUCUAAAGCCCAUAAGAAUUUCCCAACAAUCAGCAAGCUGGUGCAUCGUAACAGGAAAAAGUUCUCCCCAAACCUGGCAACUCUAAGCUACAUUCCACUUCAUUAAGCAUCUCACUUGUUCGCCCAUUAACAAAGUGCUGUGGUCAAUUCUGGUUUCAAUGUUUGAGUCCCACAUGAUAAGCACUGGGUUCUGAGACAAGGCCCAGGAGUAAGGACAUGGCUCUGGGGAAAUGUAUGAGCUUCCUUCUACUGUGGAGGAAGCUCACAGAAAUGCAAAGUCAGGAAGCUACAGAGGUUAGUGCUUCAUGGAGUGAAAGGACAGAGGGAUAUCCGUAGGCAGCACCUGGGACUGACAGGCAGGCCAGCCAGGCUGCGAGGGCCUGAGGGUUUGUAUUUCCUUCCAAAGGCAGAGUAUGGAGGGAGGUUUCAAUCAUGUCCCUAAGUGGCAGUGCAGGGAACAGAGUGGGAGGCGGGUGAGGACCCAGUUGACAACAAGAGUGUGGGCAGGAGGGACAGGGAAGGCACAGUCCGCCAGAUUUGGGGUCAUUGGACAUGGGAAAGGUGAAUGAAGGGGAAAGAGACAAGAAAGCCUGGGGUUCCCAGCCUGACUGAGCACUAGGCAAAGCAGCUCUCCACCAAGGGUAGGCAGGAAGCCAGUGUGCAGGCCCCCCUCAGCGGAGCACCGAGGGGUUCAUGGGACUCCAGGCGCAAAGAUUUCAAAUACAAGAGCCAAGGCUCUAGAGAGCAGUCUGAACAGGAAGUGACAGAGAGUCUGCAGAGGGAAGAAGGUUGGAGAAACCAGGCAGAUGAGGGAGCUCAAGCAGGGUAGCAAUGAAGUGAGGAAAAGCAGAGGAACUCUGGGAGACAGGAAGACCAGGGAGUUCAGGGAGGCUGCGUGGUCGGGUGUGGAAGACAGAGGAAGCAGCAGACAGGGCAUCUCAAAUUAUACUCAAUGCCCAGGUCCAUGGUGGUUUUGUCCACUGAUUGGCAGGUUUGACUGCCCCAUUUUCCCCCGAGCAGGGGCUGUGUCUAUCUUGUGUACACUGUCCCCUCCUUACCCAGAACUGGGCCUAAUACUCGACAAAAACCCAAGAAACAUAUAAUGUCAACUUCUGCGAAAGUUCUCAUCUAAAAGAAUGGAGAAUGGUCCCAUUCAAAGCAGUCCUCCACUUCUCUGUGUGACACAUGGGGUUUUGUAUAUUCUGAACCCAUCUCCUGCCUGCAGUGACCCUGUGCAGGUCAUUUGGGUGGCUGGGUUUUGGGUUCCUCCACUAUAGAGACAAGGCAAUGAUCAUAAAGAAUAAACGAAAGGAGGUUUGUCCAGGCCAGCAAGGGGGUGCCAGGGAGUGGCAGGCUAGUUACCUUGCAGGAAGUGCUCAGUAAGUGGUAGUUCUUUUCAGGGUCAAUGCAGGAUUCUAGACGAAGGCCACCUACUCAAUCCAUACUUCCAAAAAUUAAUCAUCCAACACUCUCAUAACACAAACCCAAAUGCAAAGAAAGCUAAUCCCCCAAGGUUUAAAUUAGCUGCUAGAAUGGGCAACAUUACAUUGUGCCUUAAGAAACUUCAGGGGCUGGGGAUGUGGCUCAAGCAGUAGCGCGCUCGCCUGGCAUGCGUGUGGCCCAGGUUCGAUCCUCAGCACCACAUACAAAAAUGUUGUGUCUGCCGGAAACUGAAAAAUAAAUAUUGAAAUUCUCUCUCUCUAAAAAAAAAAUGAAAAACAAAAACCUUGCAGCUGACUAGCACCUGAUCCCCCAACCUAAAGGGUCAGCUCCAAGUUUCUUUAAAAAAAAAAAAAAAGAAACUUAAGGAAACUCAUUUCCUCUUAGAAAACCACUUCUGCCCAUGGAUCUCAGAGUUUGGAGGCCCUGGGCCCCUUUAGACACUAUCUGGGGCCAGUCAUCUUGCUGACUUGUCUCAUGUUGUCUUGCUAUAUUUUCUACUUCUUUUUAAGAUAUUCUCCUGGAAAGGGCUGAUGAUAUAGCUCAGUGGUAGAGUUCUUGCCUAGCAUGCAAUUCCCAGGAUAGCUGCCCCCCCCACCAAAAAAAAAAAACAACUUUCACCUGAUUAUAAUCAAGAUAAUGUGGAUGAAUUCAGGGUUCUACUUUUCUAAGCCAAGCCAGUUAAAUUCAAUAAAUCUAAUAUUUUUAUGGAACUAGAAUGGAGACAACAGGGUCCUAAACCUGAAACAUUCUUUGCAUAAUUUAAACUUUUUUACAGAAAAAGAGGAACUCAUUUCUAUUGUCUUCCAAACUUCUUCCAAGUAAAUACAGAUUAUAAUUAUUCCAAACUUACAAAUGCAAGCAGCUCUUGGAACUACAUGGGAAGUCCUAUGGUCAUUUUAUUUAUCUAUCUAUUUAUUUAUUUAUUUUAGUUGUAGGUAGACACAAUGCCUUUAUUUUAUUUAUUUGUUUUUAUGUGUGCUGAGGAUUGAACCCAGUGCCUCACAUGCAAGGCAAAUGCUCUGCUGCUGAGCUGUGACCCCAGCCGUCCUAUGGUCUUUUUAAACAGAAACCUAACAGUGACUUCCCACUACCACGACAAAGAAACAGUAUCCAGAACAGGAUGUAAGAGUGUCUACCUCCUCCAGCAGGGCUCUGCUCCCUGAGGCAUUCCUCCUCAUGGUCCCAGCAGGGCCUUCGUGGGGCUGGGAUGCUCGGAUCCUCUGAUGGACAGCUGCACUAGACUCUGCCAGGGUCUGCAAGUCUCCACUUCUUCUAGGUCCAAGGUGACUCUCUGAUCCCAAAAGAGCUGAAUGACUUCCAUUUUCUGGCUCAGGUACCAAUGCCUCUUCUACAGACUGCCCAUCCUGGAUAAUGUCACACACCCCAAAACAAAAUAAAACAGGCAUGCUUUCUAUAUAUCACCAUGAAAGCCUUCAAGCAAAAAAAAAAAAAAAAAAUCAAAA